rnacentral:pre_miRNA from 1 species
AAGUGGAAGAGGAAGAAAAUGAGCAUUUAAGAGCAUUGGACAUGGGGACAUGGAGGAAGGCCUAAACUAGUGUGUCUCUCUACAACUAGGGUCCAACUUUUUUUCAGAAUUUUCUCGAUGCCUCCCAUGCCUAUUAUUCGUAGGUGCUCCUUCCUCUCCCUUUUGAUC